CACGUAGGGUGCGAGCGUUGUCCGGAAUUAUUGGGCGUAAAGAGCUCGUAGGCGGUGUGUCGCGUCGGCCGUGAAAACCCUGCAGCUUAACUGUGGGCUUGCGGUCGAUACGGGCAUCACUGGAGUUCGGCAGGGGAGACUGGAAUUCCGUGGUGAUAGCGGUGAAAUGCGCAGAUAUCGAGGAGGAACACCGGUGGCGAAGGCGGGUCUCUGGGCCGAUACUGACGCUGGAGGAGCGAAAGCG
rnacentral:rRNA from 1 species